CCGUGCUAGAUGGGGAAUUAGCGGUGCCCUGUAACCUGCAAUCCGCUAUAGCAGGAUUGAUGCCGACGCAAGGCUGUUGCUGACUUAUUUGAAUGAAUUAAGUAAUGUUGAAGUUUCGAUCUGUUGCAAUGAAUCACUGAUGAACUCCGUCAGGCCCGGAAGGGAGCAGCGGUAACUUAGAAGAUUUAUGUGCCCACAGUAUUCCGAAAUGGAGUUGGCUGAUUGAUAUU
rnacentral:SRP_RNA from 1 species